rnacentral:rRNA from 1 species
UACGUAGGGUGCAAGCGUUAAUCGGAAUUACUGGGCGUAAAGCGUGCGCAGGCGGUUUUGUAAGUCUGUCGUGAAAAUCCCCCGGGCUCAACCUGGGAAUUGCGAUGGAGACUGCAAGGCUAGAAUCUGGCAGAGGGGGGGUAGAAUUCCACGUGUAGCAGUGAAAUGCGUAGAGAUGUGGAGGAACACCGAUGGCGAAGGCAGCCCCUGGGUCAAGAUUGACGCUCAUGCACGAAAGGCGUGGGAGCAAA